CACAUUUAAUUUCAGGGUAGUAUAACAUCUGACUAACACCUGAAUAAGUGUUAAAUCCCUUCAUCGUGGUUUUGUUGUUCAUAUCUUUUGACAGUUAACGAUGGAUCAAAUUUAGGUAGGAAAAGCUCAUGUGAUGUCAAAACCAGCUAUAAAAAAUGUUUUGUACAUUUCAGAGCUUUGGUUUGCUUUAACAGCUUUCUUUCCCUUCAUUCAUUCAUAUCUUGUAGCAUCUAUUAAAAUGAAUGGCUGAGUGAAAAUCUGGUAUGGUCAUGAAAAGACCCUUUUCUGCGAAAAUCUUGUACAUUAUCAGACAUCAGGGCACAGAUGUGAACUAGAUUACCCCACGCUCCCCCUAAUAUUCUUCUCCUGCUCUCUCUCUCUCCCUCACUCUCCUGACCACAAAAGAAAGAAAUCAUUGAGUUUCUGCCUUUUUAUAAACACUCCCUCUCCUUCCAGUAGUCUCCAAAUAGGGACACAGAUUUUCAGGUUCCCAAACUUUGUUGGAAGAAGUGAAAAGAAGUCUAAGGCAGGCUGAUUAUGUGUGCUCCACUUCUGCUUUGAACAUUUUGACCAGACACAUGGCUCUACAUUGUGACAUGGCAGAAGAUUCUGAUGAGGUCAGAGCUUUGCAACAGUGGUGAUUGUGUGGAAAAGCUGUGUCCAGCUUUGAGGGGCUCAAGAGGGACCUCCCAUUUGUCAUUGCUUGGGUUCUCAUCCAUCACUCCAUCAAGUCCCAGCUCACAGAGGUUCCUCCCUCUUCUGGGUCAUGAUGAGGCUUCACUCUACGCUGGGCACUUGGCUCUUCACACUCCUAGUGAUGCCAGUCUACUGCCAGAGUGGUGAUAAUGGAGAGUGGGGAUCAGGUGACGUCUCUGGGACUGUGGUCACUGGCAACUCCUCCACUUCAAUCUUCCAUGCAGUGGGGGAUGAGCCAGACAGGACCAGGCCAGUUUUUCAGAGCCUGUCAGAGACAGAAGGCGGUGACUGUUAUGUCAACUUUCACACCAGCCAAGUCAUGUCAAGGCGCUUACGAGCUUUCAGAGAGGAAGUUGCUUAUCUAAAGGCCCUUCAACAUGGGAACCAGGCAGUGAUGGAGAAUCUGGUCCAGUUUGUUGGAGCAGAGAUGGGAGAUCAACGCUACGAGGAGGUGAUCCAAGAGAACAUUGUUGGAAUCAGAGAGGAUCACAUGAGCUGUGAGAGCGUGGUGACAAAAGCAGCAGAGGAGCUGGAGAGUCAGCUGGAGGGAGAUGCUCAAUCCACUUUGGCUGGAAUUCAGAAAAUAAAAGAGGAAUCCCUUUCCUUUGAAGAAAUGCUGCGUACCGCGACGGACAUCGCCACUCGACUGGAGAGCUCCUCACGAACCCUGCAUGUAGAGAUGAUCAAACAGCUGAGGAAGAACAUGAGACAGCCGCGCAAAACUAAAUGAUUCAGUGGGAAACCCUCCAACCUGGAAAAAACAGAUAAAAGUGUUAUAUGACAACCCUGCAGCUAUGGUCUAGAUGUCUUGGCGCUAGGGAGCAGAUGGUGAAAAGACUGAGGGUCUGGAAUUCAGCAAGCAUGAACUCUUAUACAUUGGAGAGAGAGCGCAAGAUGGAAAUGAAAAAAGAAAGAAAGAAAAAAAAAAAACAUGGCAGUGAUGUCACUGAAAAAUAAAUAAAAACAUGACUUGGCA
ensembl:lncRNA